rnacentral:misc_RNA from 1 species
GAUGAAGAACGUAGCGAAAUGCGAUACGUAAUGUGAAUUGCAGAAUUCAGUGAAUCAUCGAAUCUUUGAACGCACAUUGCGCCCGCCAGUAUUCUGGCGGGCAUGCCUGUUCGAGCGUCAUUUCAACCAUCAAGCCCCAGGCUUGUGUUGGGGGCCUGCAGCUGCUGCAGCCCCCUAAAAGCAGUGGCGGACUCGCUGUCAUACCGAGCGCAGUAGUUACAUCUCGCUCUGGGCAUGGCGGCGGGCACCUGCCGUAAAACACUCUUUCUAAGGUUGACCUCGGAUCAGGUAGGAAUACCCGCUGAACUUAAGCAUAUCAAUAAGCGGAGGA